rnacentral:rRNA from 1 species
CCCUUAGAUGUUCUGGGCCGCACGCGCGCUACACUGACGAAUGCAACGAGCUUAUAACCUUGGCCGAAAGGUCUGGGUAAUCUCCAAAUUUCGUCGUGAUGGGGAUAGAUUAUUGCAAUUAUUAAUCUUCAACGAGGAAUGCCUAGUAAGCGCAAGUCAUCAACUUGCAUUGAUUACGUCCCUGCCCUUUGUACACACCGCCCGUCGCACCUACCGAUUGAAUGGUCCGGUGAAGCCUCCGGAUUGGCGCGCACCCCGGUGCCGCCGAGAAGUUGGCUAAACCUUACCAUUUAGAGGAAGGUGAAGUCGUAACA